rnacentral:rRNA from 1 species
CGGCAACAGCUCAAAUUUGAAAUCUGGCCUCUUUGGGGUCCGAGUUGUAAUUUGGAGAGGAUGUUUCGGGUACGGUCCGGGCUUAAAUUUCUUGGAACAGAAUGUCACAGAGGGUGGGAAUCCCGUCUGGAGUCCGGACACGGCCUAUGUGAAACUCCUUCGACGAGUCGAGUUGUUUGGGAAUGCAGCUCUAAAUGGGUGGUAAAUUUCAUCUAAAGCUAAAUAUUGGCCAGAGACCGAUAGCGCACAAGUAGAGUGAUCGAAAGAUGAAAAGCACUUUGAAAAGAGAGUUAAAAAGUACGUGAAAUUGUUGAAAGGGAAGCGCUGGCAACCAGACUUGCACGUCGGGGUUCCCCCUUGCUUUUGCCUGGGUUACUCCCCGGCGUUCAGGCCAACAUCGGUUUCGGGGGUUGGUUAAAGGCCUUGGGAAUGUACUUACCCUCCGGGGUAAACUUAUAGCCCAAGGUGUCAUGCGACCUCCCGGGACCGAGGAACGCGCUUCGGCUCGGAUGUUGGCGUAAUGGUUGUCAGCGACCCGUCUUGAAACACGGACCAAGGAGUCUAACAUCUAUGCGAGUGUUAGGGUGUCAAACCCUUACGCGGAAUGAAAGUGAACGGAGGUAGGAAGCCGUUAGGCUGCACUAUCGACCGAUCCUGAAGUUUACGGAUGGAUUUGAGUAAGAGCAUAGCUGUUGGGACCCGAAAGAUGGUGAACUAUGCCUGAAUAGGGUGAAGCCAGAGGAAACUCUGGUGGAGGCUCGCA